rnacentral:rRNA from 1 species
AUUGAACGCUGCGGCAGGCUUAACACAUGCAAGUCGAGCGAGCGGCGGACGGGUGAGUAAUGCUUAGGAAUCUGCCUAUUAGUGGGGGACAACAUCUCGAAAGGGAUGCUAAUACCGCAUACUAAUAAAUGAGCCUAAGUCGGAUUAGCUAGUUGGUGGGGUAAAGGCCUACCAAGGCGACGAUCUGUAGCGGGUCUGAGAGGAUGAUCCGCCACACUUGGACUGGGAGACGGCCCAGACUCCUACGGGGGGCAGCACGGGGGGAUAUUGGGCAAUGUGGGGAAACCUGAUCCAGACCUGCCGCGUGUGUGAAGAAGGCCUUAUGGUUGUAAAGCGCUUUAAACGAGGAGGCGUUACUCGCAGGAUAAGCACCGGCUAACGCUGUGCCAGCAGCCGCGGUAAUACC